rnacentral:tRNA from 1 species
GCGUCGUUAGCUCAGUUGGUAGAGCAAGACUGGCUCUUAACCAGCGGGUCACAGGUUCGAGCCCUGUACGUACGAUACCA